CUCAGUUAAACACAGAUUAUUUGAAAACUGGGAGUUCAGGAUCUUGUCCAGUAAAAGGUCCAAUUUCAUCAAUAAGACCAGCAUACAUUCUAAAGAAGUAGAAAUAGCAGGUUCUAAGAGCAUGACAGAGUUUAACUCAGGACUCAGACUUCCAUGUGUGGCUGUGUGCUUCACAGUUCCAGAGAACACAAUCUACAUUAGCCAUCUGUGAAAGGUGUCCCCUGGACCUGUGCUCUACAUGGCCCUACUCAGCAUUCUUCUAAAAGAACAGCCAAGGCCCAGUUUGCUCCACCCCUGAUCUGUCACUGAACAGGAGUCACCAUAAGGAAACAAGGGCCCUAGAAGUAAGACGCUGUCAGAGAACGGGCUGCUCCUGCCUCCUGACUCCACCCAUAAACUUCAGCUUUGAUUUUCUUCUCCACUGACCAAACCCUUUCUGAGACGGAGAGAGCACUUCCCAGAUGCGGCUGCUUUAAAGAGGUCUACAGGUUGGUGAAAACCUACAAGUACCUAGAGUUUUGUUACCAUGGCACCAUUAUCAUUGCUGCUCCCAGUGCGGAUUGAGGACCAGCAGUAUAACAUCCCCUGAGAGUUUGUGGGAAAUGAAAAAGCUGAGGCUCACCUCAAACCUCCUGCAUCGAACCCACUGACCAGAUCCCCCAGAGUCACCUCCACAUCAGAGCUUGAGAUGCUCUGUCUCGAACAGAGACAGCAUAGAAAUCCUCCAAUGGCUGAAAUUCCUCCACAACCACCUACACUGACUCAGCAACGACCUUCAGCACUUCAUAAUCUUACCAAAGAAGAAAACUGAAAGGACCUGGAAAAUCAAGGUGUAAUAUGAAAUAUGAGGAAAUGAGCUAGUAUCCAAAAACAAUCCUAUUUCACAAAACUAUAUGACCUUGAAAAAUAAUUGGGUAGAAAAACAGAACCAAGUGCUAAUCACAAACAAAUACAGAUUCACAGUUUUCAGUGGG